rnacentral:rRNA from 1 species
GCGGGAUGAGCUCAAGCUUAAAAUCUCUGUGCAGGUUCUGCAUGGCGAAUUGUAGUCUAUGGAGGCGAUGUCAGUGCGGUUGUGCGGGAUAAGUUCCUUGGAAGAGGACAGCAUCGAGGGUGAUACUCCCGUAUGUGCCUGUACAGCUGCGCGUACGACACGUUUUCUUUGAGUCGCGUUGUUUGGGAAUGCAGCGCAAAGUAGGUGGUAAAUUCCAUCUAAAGCUAAAUAUUGGUGCGAGACCGAUAGCGAACAAGUACCGUGAGGGAAAGAUGAAAAGAACUUUGAAAAGAGAGUUAAAGAGUACCUGAAACUGCUGAAAGGGAAUCGAAUCGUUUCCAGUGUCUAUAAUCCAUGACAUAUUUCAUUGGCGCGUGAAUGCGUGCAGCGUUUUGGAAGUGGGUUUCCUCUCCUGGCGUUGUUGUGCGUUUGCUUGCUGGUGCCCUGUGUUGUGGUGGGACGUCAGAGUCAGUUCGUAUGCCGCGGGAAAUGGCUGUCAGGGAGGUAGGUCGCUUCGGUGAUUGUUAUAGCCUGGCAGUUAGUAGUCGUGGUUGGGACUGAGGUGCCUACAACGCGCUUUCGAGUCUGCGGGACUCUCGUCUGGUUGCCUGCUUGGACAGCUUGCUGUGCUAGUGGUCACAUCGGGCGAUUGAGAUCUGUAGUAACUUGU